rnacentral:rRNA from 1 species
UGGGGAAUAUUGCACAAUGGGCGAAAGCCUGAUGCAGCAACGCCGCGUGAGUGAUGAAGGUCUUCGGAUUGUAAAGCUCUGUCUUUUGGGACGAUAAUGACGGUACCAAAGGAGGAAGCCACGGCUAACUACGUGCCAGCAGCCGCGGUAAUACGUAGGUGGCGAGCGUUGUCCGGAUUUACUGGGCGUAAAGGGUGCGUAGGCGGAUGUUUAAGUGAGAUGUGAAAUACCCGGGCUUAACUUGGGUGCUGCAUUUCAAACUGGAUAUCUAGAGUGCAGGAGAGGAGAAUGGAAUUCCUAGUGUAGCGGUGAAAUGCGUAGAGAUUAGGAAGAACACCAGUGGCGAAGGCGAUUCUCUGGACUGUAACUGACGCUGAGGCACGAAAGCGUGGGUAGCAAACAGGAUUAGAUACCCUGGUAGUCCACGCCGUAAACGAUGAGUACUAGGUGUAGGAGGUAUCGACCCCUUCUGU